GGCCGGUUAGCUCAGUUGGUUAGAGCGUGGUGUAGGUGCUAAUAACGCCAAGGUCGCGGGUUCGAUCCCCGUACAGGCCA